rnacentral:rRNA from 1 species
CCUACGGGAGGCAGCAGUGGGGAAUAUUGCACAAUGGGGGAAACCCUGAUGCAGCGACGCCGCGUGAGUGAAGAAGUAUUUCGGUAUGUAAAGCUCUAUCAGCAGGAACGAGACAAGACGGUACCUGACUAAGAAGCCCCGGCUAACUACGUGCCAGCAGCCGCGGUAAUACGUAGGGGGCAAGCGUUAUCCGGAAUCACUGGGUGGAAAGGGAGCGUAGACGGCUGAGCAAGCCUGAAGUGAAAGGCGGGGGCCCAACCCCCGGACUGCUUUGGGAACUGUACGGCUGGAGUGCAGGAGAGGUAAGUGGAAUUCCUGGUGUAGCGGUGAAAUGCGUAGAUAUUAGGAGGAACACCAGUGGCGAAGGCGGCUUACUGGACUGUAACUGACGUUGAGGCUCGAAAGCGUGGGGAGCAAACAGGAUUAGAUACCCCGGUAGUC